rnacentral:rRNA from 1 species
GUUUACAGCCAUGCUACCCUGAACUCGUCUGAUUUUGACUGAUCUCAGAAGAUAAGCAGGGUUGGGCCUGGUUAGUAUGUGGAUGGGAGACCACCUAGGAAGACCAGGUGCCGUGGCGU